rnacentral:rRNA from 1 species
AGUUUGAUCAUGGCUCAGAUUGAACGCUGGCGGCAUGCCUAACACAUGCAAGUCGAACGGCAGCACAGGCGUAGCAAUACGUUGGGUGGCGAGUGGCGGACGGGUGAGGAAUACAUAGGAAUCUACCCUAUUGUGGGGGAUAACGUAGGGAAACUUACGCUAAUACCGCAUAAGACGGCGACGUGAAAGUGGGGGACCGCAAGGCCUCACGCGAUAGGAUGAGCCUAUGUCCGAUUAGCUAGUUGGCGGGGUAAGAGCCCACCAAGGCGACGAUCGGUAGCUGGUCUGAGAGGAUGAUCAGCCACACUGGAACUGAGACACGGUCCAGACUCCUACGGGAGGCAGCAGUGGGGAAUAUUGGACAAUGGGCGCAAGCCUGAUCCAGCAAUGCCGCGUGUGUGAAGAAGGCCUUCGGGUUGUAAAGCACUUUUGUACGGGAAGAAAGCGAGCGGAUUAAUACUUCGUUCGGAUGACGGUACCGUAAGAAUAAGCACCGGCUAACUUCGUGCCAGCAGCCGCGGUAAUACGAAGGGUGCAAGCGUUAAUCGGAAUUACUGGGCGUAAAGCGUGCGUAGGCGGUUUGUUAAGUCCGAUGUGAAAGCCCUGGGCUCAACC